rnacentral:lncRNA from 1 species
GUGUAAUUAUAAAUAGGUUACUUAUACAGUGAUUAUAUAGCUCAUUCCAAAGGCUUUUGUGAGGUGGGACAUAACAUAAAUGAAGAAAUCUAACUUUAAUAUGGACCCUUGAUCAAUAGAAACAUAACUCCAAUAUGGAAUCAGUCAGUCUAAUAUUUCUAGUCUCACACUGCAACUAACACUUUAGAAGGGGUGUAUGCAAACAGUGAAACAAAGAGAAGAUGGAGUCGUUCCAAACAGCAACAGAAGCAGACAGGUCUUGGCCAGGACGAGCUCGCAGCAUUAUCUCUAGAGGCGCGGAUGGAGCACUUGGCCAGGACUCCCUAUAAGUGAAGCAGGACUGCAUUUGAAAAAAACAAGAAGUACCUUUGCACCAAGAGCAAGAAAUUGGCGCAGACAGGCGGCUGUAUCUAACUCAGCGCAUUUCAGAGCAACCUGCAAAACUGACUUGUGUAGCAUGUAGUGCGAUACACUUGAACAUCUGGAAUCAUCCCAAGAUACCUAAAAUGCCAUUAAG